rnacentral:rRNA from 1 species
UACGUAGGGGGCAAGCGUUGUCCGGAUUUAUUGGGCGUAAAGAGCGUGUAGGCGGCCUGGUAGGUCAGCUGUGAAAACUCGAGGCUCAACCUCGAGACGCCGGUUGAAACCAUCAGGCUAGAGCCCGGAAGAGGAGAGUGGAAUUCCCGGUGUAGCGGUGAAAUGCGCAGAUAUCGGGAAGAACACCCGUGGCUAAGGCGGCUCUCUAGUACGGUACUGACGCUGAGACGCGAAAGCGUGGGGAGCGAACAGG